CCUACGGGUGGCAGCAGUGGGGAAUAUUGGACAAUGGGGGGAACCCUGAUCCAGCCAUGCCGCGUGUGUGAAGAAGGCCCUCGGGUUGUAAAGCACUUUCAGUGAGGAAGAACGCCUGGUGGUUAAUACCCACCAGGAAAGACAUCACUCACAGAAGAAGCACCGGCUAACUCCGUGCCAGCAGCCGCGGUAAUACGGAGGGUGCGAGCGUUAAUCGGAAUUACUGGGCGUAAAGCGCGCGUAGGUGGCUUGAUAAGCCGGUUGUGAAAGCCCCGGGCUCAACCUGGGAACGGCAUCCGGAACUGUCAAGCUAGAGUGCAGGAGAGGAAGGUAGAAUUCCCGGUGUAGCGGUGAAAUGCGUAGAGAUCGGGAGGAAUACCAGUGGCGAAGGCGGCCUUCUGGACUGACACUGACACUGAGGUGCGAAAGCGUGGGUAGCAAACAGGAUUAGAUACCCCGGUAGUC
rnacentral:rRNA from 1 species